UACAGAGACUGCAAGCGUUAUUCGGAUUCACUGGGCGUAAAGGGCGCGCAGGCGGCUCUUCAAGUCAGGCGUGAAAGCCCCGGGCUUAACCUGGGAAUUGCGCUUGGGACUGGAGGGCUUGAGUACGGGAGAGGAGAGUGGAAUUCCCAGUGUAGAGGUGAAAUUCGUAGAUAUUGGGAAGAACACCGGUGGCGAAGGCGGCUCUCUGGACCGUAACUGACGCUGAGGCGCGAAAGCGUGGGGAGCAAACAGG
rnacentral:rRNA from 1 species